rnacentral:rRNA from 1 species
CAGUCGCCGCGGUAAUACGUAGGUGGCAAGCGUUGUCCGGAAUUAUUGGGCGUAAAGGGCUCGCAGGCGGUUUCUUAAGUCUGAUGUGAAAGCCCCCGGCUCAACCGGGGAGGGUCAUUGGAAACUGGGAAACUUGAGUGCAGAAGAGGAGAGUGGAAUUCCACGUGUAGCGGCGAAAUGCGUAGAGAUGUGGAGGAACACCAGUGGCGAAGGCGACUCUUUGGUCUGUAACUGACGCUGAGGAGCGAAAGCGUGGGGAGCGAACAGGAUUAGAUACCCGCGUAGUCCCUGUCUCUUAUAA